UACACGUAAUUUUUCCCUUCUCAGACAUCAAUAAGGCAACAACAACAUUCACAAUCCUGCGCUUGCGCAGAACUCUGCCCCUAGGUGCCAUAUAUUUUAAGUUAAUACUAGAUUUUGACCCGCGCUUUCAAAGCGCGGGAUCGUUUCUUUUUAAAAUUUUAUUCAAAUUAAUAAAUAUUUGUCGAAUCUAUAUUUUAAUAGAUAUUUUUAUUUGUUUAUAGUCAAUUUUUAUAAUAUUGUCUUCUUUAUUUUUUUAAUUAUUAUUAAAAUAAAAUUUUUUGUCCUAUAUUAUCCUGCGUAGAUCAUGUUGGUUUGUUCGAAAGUGUGGGUUUGAAUAGGAAAUCAGUGUUGCCUAUUUAUAAUAUUGAUCGGAUUCAAAGCGAUGUGUUAGGUUUUAGGAUAAACUUGGAGAGAAAGUUGGGGGAUCUUCUCUUUAAAAUCGAAUCUCUCUAUAUUAUUUUAAAAUUAGCUUUUGGAAAGUUCAGUUACCAUGUCAAAGAGUUAAAAUAUUUUUCUGCGUGUUACUCAAGUUGGGGUAUCUUCUUUUUAGUUGAUUUAAUUCUGUAAAUCUUUGAGUACGAAACGAGAUUUAAACGACUUAAUGAGCUUAAAAAAUAAAAAAAGCAAAUUGGUUGGGCUUUUCAUUUUCGAAAAACAUUUAAAACAAUUGAAAAAAACAAUUGAAAAAGAGAAUGGAAUGUUUUGUAAUUAAUAGGAAAAUUUAGGAGCAGAUUCAUAAGAAGUAUUCUGCUUUAAUAGUAUAGAUAUGUUGACUUUUCCGACAACAAAAAAACAUGAGUUGACAACCUAACAAUUUACUCAGAAUUAGACAAAAUUUCAGAUUCGGCCCAGUGUUUUUGAAACCAAACAUUUUAAAACACAAUUUUUACUUAAUCAAUAUAUUGUACCAUAAAAAUAUACCAAAUUAUAUUCUUUGGUCGACCUAUUUCAAGUUUUUUUUGUCCACCACAAAUCAUUUUUAACAAAGUCCAGCAAAAACUCUAAAAAUAAAUAAAUUUGUAACUAUAUAAUUUAUAAAUUUCUAGAGAUUUUAAUUUUUAAAUUUAAUUUAUUUUUUGUAUAAAUUGUUUAAUUUUUUAAUCCAAAUUUCAUAUAUUUUUUCUUACACUAUUUGAUUUAUAUACUAACGACCACCUAAGUCAACACUAACCAACUCCAUAAAUCUCAACUUUUGAACAUGAAAACUCUAACAACGCUAAUAGUCGAUCAAAUUAUUACGAAGAUAAGAUAUGAACAUAUCAACACACAUGAAUUCGCCAGUCAUUCUUAUAUCAACCUAAUAAAACUGUGUGAAUUUCACUGUUCUAUUCAUCACCAUUAGAGAUAACACGAAAAAAAGUUAAAAAAUGACAAAAUCCAACUACAAAACGCAUCAACAAUAUGUAUUCCCUAGUAAAUAAGGGGCUUUUUACAUUUUUAACAGCAGGAGGAGGGAGGACCGUCCGAUUGAAAAUACUUAAGAGGACGAAGACAAAUUGUGUGGAAAAAGAAGGACCGUCCGAUUGAACAUAUAUCCGUUACGGUUUAAAGAUCCAACAAUACAUACCAAAGGGACUCUUAAGGUUUUCUCCCCAAAUUUCUUCGACGACGACGACUCUUACAACAGGUUUCUUUCCCGACUCCACAUGAAGGCACGUCUUUGUCUACAACAAAUCUUUGCUUUAGAUUUGGGCUACUUGAUGUAAAGCGAACAAAGUAGAUUCGUAUAUAUAUACCAGUGUUGAUUGCUUAUAUACACACACGUGAACCGUAUAUUAAAUGUUUUUAUUUUUGAGUUAGCUAUUUAAUAAAGUCUCCUACUUAAUCUGUCUCUGUUCUUUUCUUGACAGGGUUCCAUUACAUGCACAACUCCGAACAGAGUCACUGAAGCUCUACUAUCGCCUGAUAUUAGGUAGAGACUCUUGUGCUCUACCGAUUCUUACAUUUGGUUUUAGUUUAAUCAAAAAAACCCCCCAAAAGAUCAUAUAGGCUGACACUAAUCUAAUGGUGUUCUGCUAGAUUCUUAUUUGGGGACAUUGGCCCUGUUCGUCGCGAAGUCGCAGCGGGAGCGGCGAGCGAUUAACAUUUAAAGGGGAAUACAACAAAAUUUAAAAGGAAAUAAAGAUAAAAGGGAAGAACUUUGUUGCCGCUGGAUGAGAAAAGAAAUAUGAACUGUGUCGCCGUUUUAUUUAGCGUCAGCAACACCACCGAAAUUGUUCAGUUAAUUUAGUCGCUGCGUUUAUUAUCUAUCCUCCGGCGAUGGAUGAAGAAGGAAAUCAUUAACACAUUUAAUCGCUGACGCUAAUCGCAGCGACUUUGAAAAGAACAGGGCUAUUGUCCCGUCGGUUGGUAGUGCAUGCGAUGUUUGGGGAUGAAACUUUAAGUACCCACGGCUUAUUACGAAAAUGACCAGCGGCUUAAAAAAAAAUAAGGCAAAGACUGUAAAUUUUGUGACCAAGUCUUUAAGCAAAAGGUUACAGAUAUGUUCAUGUUGGAUGGAUAAAACGAACAACAACAUGUCUUUAGACAAAGGCCAUGAGAUUGUUGGAAUGGAAAAAGCGAUAAAAAGGGCUUAAAAUCAAGGGCUUAAAAAGAGGUCUUUGAUGAGACAAUGAUUGUGUGAUACCCACGGCUUAGAAAAAUUCGUAAGACAAUGACGGAAUUGGUCUCUUAUUUGGGAAUGGAUAGUACCCACGGCUUAUUACGAAAGCGACCAACAACAAAUAAAAAAAGAUUUACAUAGCUCAUAAAUUUGUUGGAUGGACUAAACGACCAACGGUUUACAAUAAAGUCUGUAAACAAAGAUUAUGACUGUGUUGGAUGGAUAGUACGAUCAACAAUGAACAAAAUGUCUUUAGACAAAGGUUACAGAUAUAUGUUGGAUGGAUAAAACGAUCAACAAUAAACAAAAUGUCUUUAGACAAGAAGAAAAAGUGGUCUUUGAGGCAAAUGAUUGUGAUUACCCACGGCCUAGAUAAAUUCAUGUGAACCUGUUGAAUGGCUAAAGCGAUCAACGGUUUACAAAACGUCUUCAGACAAAGACUGAAAUACCCACACCUUGUGAAGAGUUCUUGGACAAUAUUGCUACCCACGGCUUAAUAAAAGUUGCGUGUUGGAAGGGAACAAACUACCCACGGCUUUGAAAGGUCUUAGACAAAGAUUUUGUAGUUUGGUUUUCUGAGUUUUUCUGCUGUAAAGACGACCAGCGGUUAAACAAGUCUUUAGACAUCAGAGCCAGAGACUACUUAUUUACAUUACCACAAGGCUUGAAAAUCGUUACAAGGAAAAGACCAACGAGUGGAAAGAGUUUAAGACAAAGACUAUCAAAAUAUGCUCCUUACUUCACAACAAGCCUUGGCAAAGAAUUUAGACAAAGAUUACGCCUGGCUUGUUGGACAAGGAAAACGAUCAACGGUUUAGACAAGUCUUUAAGACAAAGACUAUGAACCAAGUCGAUUCUUGGUUUUUGUUGGAUGGUAAAGACGACCAACAACACCAGGUUUUGAGGAUAGGCACUUGAACCAAAUACUGUGCGUAUUGGAUGGUAAAAACGAACAAUGGCAAACCAAUUCUUAGACAUAAACUACGAAACAAAAAAUUGAGUCAGUUCUUGACUUGUUGGACGAUAAAAACGACCAACAAGCCAGGUUUAAGUCAGAGACUAUGGGCCGAUAAUUGAUUCUUCACUGCACUACUAUCGUGUUAGAAAAUUCGUUUUCAAAGUUGCUGUGAGAAGCGGCUUGAAAAAGUCCUUACUAUGGGAUAUAAAAAGACGAUCAAUCUCAUAAAGAAAGUUAUGAAAAAGACUCUGAACAUUAACAUAUUCCUUACUUUACCACUUACAACGUUAAAAACUCACAAGGUAAGUAUGAAUCAUUUUGUGUGAAGUAAAGACUAAUUAAUCGUGAUUUCCUCAGGUUUUGUAUAUAUGUGCUUCAGUAGGAUCGGAGCAAAUUUCAAGUGUAGCAGAUUCUCUGACAGGUAUGUGCUUUUCAAACUUGUUUGUUGUUUAGUUAAUAAUACGAUUUUGAAAAUCACAAGAUUGUGACAUAAACAUGAAGUAAAGCUAUAUUUUCGUUUUUGUGGGUAUGUGCUUCACAAACUGUUCAUAUCCUCCUCACUAAUUCCAAGGAUUUUCAGGUAUAUUCUUUUCCUUACUUUCUUUCUUAUAAAUUGGUAUUAUUACAUUAUUAUAAUUUACAACCGAAGUUAAUUGUAUGUAAAGGUAAUGAAGAUCUUAGCACCGUUUAUAACUAAAAACGUUUGAUUAAGCUGUCUUGACAACAUUUCUCUCAUUGAUCUAGCAUCCUUGAGGUUCUAGAAACUGAUUGCUAACAUAUCCAUUGAUGAACAAGUAGAUUCUUUUUUACUAUUGGAACAGUAUAUUGUGCGUUUACAGUGUUUUGUAAUCUCUAUUUCUUUAGUUUGGUGCUUGAAUGUAUUAUAAGGUUUUUUCUUUUGUUUUUUUGAAAUGGAUGUAUCUUGGAGUCUCUUGUAGAUCAAUGUAGGUGAGAGACUCCUGCAGAUUGUGGUAGUAGUUUCUUUGCACUUUUAAUGUUUCUGAUUUGUGCCAUGCUCUAGCAUGUUGUUGUAGUAGUUUUU